CCAUGGCCUGAGCUCCGCGGAUACGACGCAUUACAUGUCGGGGAAGGGACUCUACGCAUUCAACACCAUGAUCACAUGUGAUGCCGACCUCUGGAUGUCAGUCCAUGUUUCCUGGGGUCAUGUCAUGACUCGUGGGUAUGGCGGGGGAGCCCUCUCCGUCAGCACCUGGAAGCAAAACUUCGGCUUGCUUGGAGACUCCAGCUAUACAUUAGAACCGUGACUCCUGACACCAGUGCCCGGACGCCCAGCUCGUGGCACCCCUGAUAACCACUACAACAAGGCCCACACCGCCAUGCGCAAUGUUGUGGAGUGGUGCAACGCUGUAAGCUUGUGCAGAGCUGCACAAGCAUCAUUGCUGCUUGUGCAGCUCUGCACGACAUUGCGUUGGCGGCACAUAAGCCUGUUCUCGAAGGGGACGAUGACGACACAGACGAUGCUGAGCUGCUGCCAGCAGCAGCUGAGCUACCACCACCACCACCACAACGGGAGCCAGCAGCAGCGCAACCGUGUAGUGAACCUGUUUCGAGAACCACUGGGCCUGCAUGCUUGAGCAUCUGCGCAGAGUACGCCGCCGCCUGCAACGACCUCGGCAGCAUUGUGUGGUGGCUUCCGCUGCAAUGAGGGCCCGGGCGAGGGUACCAACGCCUUGCAGUUCGUGGACCACGUCACCGAGAAGUUGAACCUGGCGCAGCUUUCCAAUGAUGCCUGGC